rnacentral:lncRNA from 1 species
ACUUUCAAAUUGGUUUACAAUAUGCUGUAGAAGUACAUGAAGGAUCAUUGAAUUAUUUCCACAGGGCUGGAGGCGGGUCAAGGAAGAGUGAUAUUAUGGAAGACCUAGUGGAGCCAUGCUUAUUUUUUCAUUUAUGCAAUAAAUGAAAAAGAAGAGUGAAACAAGUAAAGCAAUGAUGAAAGGAUAUUCAGGUGUUAUGAAGGGUUGGACCAGGGAGUGCCCAGAGACCAUGUCUAAGUCUAAUAGUCCAUACUAACAAAAAUCUAUAUUUCACUUUUUAUUCAGAGCAGAAGACAAAUAAGAUCAUAUUUGUUAGGCAUUCUGUAAAAAUUGCCAUUAGCCUAAUCAUGUGGCCUAGUAGCUAGAAUACCCUUGGAAGAUACAGGUGCAGCCACCUCAAGGAA